rnacentral:rRNA from 1 species
UCAAGCGAGAAAGGGCGCACGGUGGAUGCCUUGGCGCCGGGUGGCGACGAAGGGCGCAGCGAGCUGCGAAAAGCCUCGGGUAGCCGCAAGCAGGCGUAGAUCCGGGGAUACCCGAAUGGGGGAACCCAUCACAGGUAAUACUGUGAUAUCCUGUACCGAACACAUAGGUAUAGGAGGCGAUACCGGGGGAACUGAAACAUCUAAGUACCCCGAGGAGAAGAAAGAAACCUCGAUUCCCUAAGUAGCGGCGAGCGAACGGGGAGAAGCCCAAACCCUGCAUGAGUAAUAGGCUGCAUCCGUUUCAUGCAGGGGGUUGUGGGGUUAUCAGUGGAUAGGAUGCAGACUAUCCGCCGUCUAAGCCGACAGUUAGUAGAAGGAGUCUGGAACGGCCCACCAUAGAGGGUAACAGUCCCGUAUACGAAAACUGAAGGCAGCGGUAAGAUAGCCCCGAGUACCACGGGGCACGAGAAACCCUGUGGGAAUCCGGGAGGCCCACCUCCCAAGGCUAAAUACAACCCGGCGACCGAUAGCGAACAAGUACCGUGAGGGAAAGGUGAAAAGCACCCCGGUGAGGGGAGUGAAACAGAACCUGAAACCGUGUGUCUACAAGCAGUGGGAGCCCUGACUAGAAGCUAGAGGCUAGAAGCUAGAAGCUAGAGGAGCGAAUCUAGAUUCUAGUUUCCAGCAUCUAGCUUCUAAGGGGCGACCGCGUACUUUUUGUAGAACGGACCGGCGAGUUGCGGUAUCUAGCGAGGUUAAGGUGCAGAGCACCGGAGCCGAAGCGAAAGCGAGUCCUAACAGGGCGUAUAGUUAGGUAUCGCAGACCCGAAACCGGGUGAUCUACCCAUGGCCAGGGUGAAGCGGAAGUAAAGUUUCGUGGAGGCCCGAACCGUGUUGACGUUGAAAAGUCAUGGGAUGAGCUGUGGGUAGGGGUGAAAUGCCAAUCGAACCCGGAGAUAGCUGGUUCUCCCCGAAAUAGCUUUAGGGCUAGCCUCAACAGAAAGAGUGAUGGAGGUAGAGCACUGAAUGGGCUAGGGGCCCGACAAGGUUACCGAACCCUAUCAAACUCCGAAUGCCAUCACUUGUUAGUUGGGAGUCAGACUAUGGGAGAUAAGUUUCAUAGUCGAGAGGGAAACAGCCCAGACCGUCAGCUAAGGUCCCCAAGUAUAGGCUAAGUGGCAAAGGAUGUGGGAUUGCCCAGACAACCAGGAUGUUGGCUUAGAAGCAGCCAUUCAUUUAAAGAGUGCGUAAUAGCUCACUGGUCAAGUGAUCCUGCGCCGAAAAUGUAGCGGGGCUCAAGCCUAUCACCGAAGCUGCGGGUACUAGAAGCUAGAUACUAGAGGCUAGAAACUAGAACAAAGAAACUAGAACAAAAAGGAGAGGCAAGGUUUGAUACGAUCAUACAAAGAUUUAAGGGUAUAUCAAAUAUCGUAUGAAUUAGCCUUACAACUCCACCGGAAGACGUUGACACUUCCUGAAUUUGAGAAAUACGAAUUAGGUCAGCAGAUAAGAAGAGCUACCAAAUCCAUUCCAUUAAACAUAGGAGAAGGAUACGGCAGGAGAACAGCCAAAGAAUUCAAGCAUUUUCUAAGAAAUGCAUUGGGGUCCUGUGAUGAGGUAGCCAUAUUACUGAGAUUUAUUAAAGACUUAGGAUAUAUAACAGACGCUGAAUAUAACCAUUAUGCUGACCAGUAUGACCAAUUAGGGAAGCAGCUAACAAAUCUAAUUCAGAGAUGGAAGGAGUUCUAGCACUCUAGUUUCCAGCAUCUAGCUUCCAGUACGGUAGGGGAGCGUUGUAUAGCCGUCGAAGUCAGACCGAAAGGGCUGGUGGAGGUUAUACAAGAGCGAAUGCCGGUAUAAGUAGCGAGAGGCAGGUGAGAAACCUGCCCGCCGGAAGCCUAAGGUUUCCUGAGGAAGGUUUGUCCUCUCAGGGUAAGCCGGGGCCUAAGCCGAGGCGUAGAGCGUAGGCGAUGGACAAUCGGUUGAGAAUCCGAUGCCACCUACUAACCGCAACGAGCGAAGGGGUGACACAGGAGGGUAGGUCAAGCGUGUGAUUGGUGGUACACGUCCAAGCCAUUAGGGAGCGGGGGCAGGCAAAACCGUUUCCGCGAUAAUCCUGAGUGGUGAUGGGGAGCGAAAAUUAAAGUAGCGAAGUGACCGAUCCCAUACUGUUUAAAAAAGCCUCUAGCCAGGUUAGGGGUGCCCGUACCGCAAACCGACACAGGUAGGCAGGGAGAGAAUCCCGAGGCGACCGGGAGAACCCUCGUUAAGGAACUCGGCAAACUGACCCCGUAACUUCGGGAGAAGGGGUGCCCGAGUAGCGUAUGGUAUAACUAUAUGCGAAAGGGCCGCAGAGAAUAGGCCCAAGCGACUGUUUAGCAAAAACACAGGUCUCUGCCAAGGAGAAAUCCGACGUAUAGGGGCUGACGCCUGCCCGGUGCUGGAAGGUUAAGGGGAAGGCUUAGCGCAAGCGAAGGUCUGAACCGAAGCCCCAGUGAACGGCGGCCGUAACUAUAACGGUCCUAAGGUAGCGAAAUUCCUUGUCGGGUAAGUUCCGACCCGCACGAAAGGCGUAACGACUUGGGCGCUGUCUCGACGAGGGGCCCGGCGAAAUUGUAGUACUCGUGAAGAUGCGAGUUACCCGCGACAAGACGGAAAGACCCCGUGGAGCUUUACUGCAGCCUGACAUUGGAUCUUGGCAUUACAUGUACAGGAUAGGUGGGAGACAGAGAGCCUGGGCCGCCAGGUUCAGGGGAGUCGCCCUUGGGAUACCACUCUUGUAGUGCUGGGGUUCUAACUAUAUACCGUAAGCCGGUAUUGGGACAUUGUCAGGUGGGCAGUUUGACUGGGGCGGUCGCCUCCCAAAGAGUAACGGAGGCGCCCAAAGGUUACCUCAGUGCGGUCGGGAAUCGCGCGUAGAGUGUAAAGGCAGAAGGUAGCCUAACUGUGAGAGAGACAUCUCGAGCAGGGUCGAAAGACGGGCUUAGUGAUCCGGCGGUAUCGAGUGGAAGAGCCGUCGCUCAACGGAUAAAAGCUACCCCGGGGAUAACAGGCUUAUCUCCCCCAAGAGUCCACAUCGACGGGGAGGUUUGGCACCUCGAUGUCGGCUCGUCGCAUCCUGGGGCUGGAGUAGGUCCCAAGGGUUGGGCUGUUCGCCCAUUAAAGCGGUACGCGAGCUGGGUUCAGAACGUCGUGAGACAGUUCGGUCCCUAUCUGUCGCGGGCGUAGGAAACUUGAGGGGAGCUGCCCUUAGUACGAGAGGACCGGGGUGGACGGACCGCUGGUGUACCAGUUGUCCCGCCAGGGGCACAGCUGGGUAGCCAUGUCCGGCAGGGAUAAGCGCUGAAGGCAUCUAAGCGCGAAGCCCCCCCCAAGAUUAGGUUUCCCACUCCUUAGGAGGUAAGACCCCAGGUAGAUUACCUGGUCGAUAGGUCGGAGGUGUAAGUGCAGCAAUGCAUUCAGCUGACCGAUACUAAUAGGUCGAGGGCUUGACCU